GAUGAACGCUGGCGGCGUGCCUAAUACAUGCAAGUCGAGCGAACGGACGAGGAGCUUGCUUCUCGGAUGUUAGCGGCGGACGUGUGAGUAACACGUGUAUAACCUACCUAUCAGACUGGGAAAACUUCGGGAAACCGGAGCUAAUAGCGUAUGAUCUUUUGAACCGCAUGGUUCAAAAGUGAAAGACGGUCUUGUCGGCGGUUCUGGCUGGAUCCGAGCUGCAUUAGCUAGUUGGUGAGGUAACGGCUUACCAAGGCAAUGAUGGAUAGCCGGCCUGAGGGGGGGACCGGCCACAUUGGGACUGAGGUAGGGCGCAGACUGCUACGGGAGGCAGCAGUGGGGAAUAUUGCACAAUGGGCGGAAGCCUGAUGCAGCAACGCCGCGUGCGGGAUGACGGCCUUCGGGGUGUAAACCGCUUUCGCCUGUGACGAAGCGUGAGUGACGGUAAUGGGUAAAGAAGCACCGGCUAACUACGUG
rnacentral:rRNA from 1 species